CUCAUUCUUAUCGCAAAGUGCCACGACAAGCGCUACAAAUGUUGAAUGCGAUUGAAUAUAAAGCAAACCAUCAUCUUCAGAAUCUGUCUAAGAUAUCGAAUGGCGGAGAACAAGGACCUCGAAACCGCCAUCAGAAGGCUCGCCUCUGUCAAUAAUCACCUCCUUUCCGCCCCCGCAGCGUCCCCUGAACUUACCUUCACGCGCACUUCCACUACCGACAACAGCUUCGGCCGCGUUCACGGCCAAGUCCCCUCUCACGACGUCGUUUGGAGGACCGCUUCCGAUGACUUCACAGACAUUGUGUACGAGAAGGCAGUUGGGGAAGGAAUUGCCAAGAUAAGUAUUAAUAGGCCAGAGAGAAGGAACGCGUUCCGUCCCAAAACGGUGAAGGAGCUCAUGAGUGCUUUCACUGACGCCAGGGAUGAUUCAUCUAUUGGGGUCGUCAUUCUCACUGGCAAGGGAACCAAGGCAUUUUGUAGUGGUGGUGACCAGGCUUUGAGGACUGACGAUGGCUAUUCUGAUGAUGGAAGUUUUAGCAACCUUAAUGUGUUAGACUUGCAGGUGCAGAUACGCCGCCUCCCUAAGCCAGUGAUUGCAAUGGUAGCAGGUUAUGCUGUUGGUGGAGGGCAUAUAUUACAUAUGGUCUGUGAUCUAACUAUUGCAGCAGAUAAUGCUAUCUUUGGCCAAACUGGUCCUAAGGUAGGAAGCUUUGAUGCUGGUUAUGGAAGUUCUAUCAUGUCUCGUUUGGUCCAAAAAAAGCGCGUGAAAUGUGGUUCCUCACAAGGCUCUAUGAUGCUGUUGAAGCAGAGAAAAUGGGCCUUGUCAACACUGUUGUACCUUGAACGCUAUGUUUUGGUUUGGUCUAGCUUGAGAAUUUGGAGAUAGAAACGAUAAAAUGGUGUCGGGAGAUACUGAGUAACAGUCCAACUGCUAUUCGGGUGCUCAAGUCUGCUCUUAAUGCAGUGGAUGAUGGACAUUCUGGACUUCAGGAACUUGGGGGAAAUGCAACACUGAUAUACUAUAGCACGGAGGAAGCUAAAGAGGGGAAGACUGCAUAUUUGCAACGUAGACGCCCUGAUUUUUCUAAGUUCAAACGGCGACCUUAAAUAUUUGUCAAUUGUUUCCAUCAAUUUGAGGCUUCUGAGGAAUGGACCUCUAGUCCUUAAUUUACCCAUUUUAAACGUAUCUGUGAGGUUGAUAAUGAUAAAAUAAACAGAUUUCUCUGAUUUAACUAUUGUGUCCUGUUUCUUAAAAAGAUUAUCAGCUUCAGUAAACAAGACCGCAGAAUAUACAUUUCCGUUGAUUUUCUCAAAACUUGGUCUUCUGAAAUUCAGUUUUGCCCCUGAAGUCAUGGAUUAUUGAAAGCUCAUUAUGCAUGAUGCUUAAGGGAACUUUUACAGGUUUAUGCUUCUGAAGUUUCAGAAUAGUUUUCCACUAGUUGUGUAAUAUUUCUGCGAAUAUUCGGUGUGUACUCAACAUACUUGGAUAUGAUAUGAUACGGUGAAACACACCAUGUAUAUUCGGAGUAAAGAUGAUGUAUUUGUUGCA